GACGAACGCUGGCGGCGUGCUUAACACAUGCAAGUCGAACGCUGAAGCUCAGCUUGCUGGGUGGAUGAGUGGCGAACGGGUGAGUAACACGUGAGUAACCUGCCCUCUUCUUUGGGAUAACGCCCGGAAACGGGUGCUAAUACUGGAUAUUCACUGAUUCUCGCAUGGGGGUUGGUGGAAAGGUUUUUUCUGGUGGGGGAUGGGCUCGCGGCCUAUCAGCUUGUUGGUGGGGUGAUGGCCUACCAAGGCUUUGACGGGUAGCCGGCCUGAGAGGGGGACCGUUCACCUUGGGACUGGGCUACGGCCCUGACUCCUACGGGAGGCAGCAGUGGGGAAUAUUGCACGAUGGGCUAAAGCCUGAUGCAGCGACGCCGCGUGAGGGAUGGAGGCCUUCGGGUUGUAAACCUCUUUCGCUCAUGGUCAAGCCGCAGCUUUGGGUUGUGGUGAGGGUAGUGGGUAAAGAAGCGCCGGCUAACUACGUG
rnacentral:rRNA from 1 species